rnacentral:lncRNA from 1 species
GGCAAGACCAGUCAUCCGUUUAAUGCUUGAGCCUUAAUUAUCUCAUCGCGUUUCCGACACUUGCCAAAUCAGCAUCAAGCUCUAUGCCAGAUUUUCACGAGUAACAGCAGCUCCAACCGGUUGUACGAAUUGUAAACGAAUGCAGAGAGAAUCGAAAUUUUUGAAUGAAGAAAAUAAUCAUCCGGCAA